ACGGUAACAGACCGCUGGGAUCCCUUCGGGGUGAACUUGGUGCUGACGAGUGGCGGACGGGUGAGUAAUGCAUAGGAAUCUGCCCAGUAGCGGGGGACAACUCGGGGAAACUCGAGCUAAUACCGCAUACGCCCUACGGGGGAAAGCGGGGGACCUUCGGGCCUCGCACUAUUGGAUGAGCCUAUGUCUGAUUAGCUUGUUGGUGAGGUAACGGCUUACCAAGGCGACGAUCAGUAGCUGGUCUGAGAGGAUGAUCAGCCACACCGGAACUGAGACACGGUCCGGACUCCUACGGGAGGCAGCAGUGGGGAAUAUUGGACAAUGGGGGCAACCCUGAUCCAGCAAUGCCGCGUGUGUGAAGAAGGCCUGCGGGUUGUAAAGCACUUUCAGUAAGGAAGAAAAUCACAGGAUUAAUACCCCUGUGCCUUGACAUUACUUACAGAAGAAGCACCGGCUAACUCCGUGCCAGCAGCCGCGGUAAUACGGAGGGUGCGAGCGUUAAUCGGAAUUACUGGGCGUAAAGCGCGCGUAGGUGGUUCAGUAAGUCGGAUGUGAAAGCCCAGGGCUUAACCUUGGAAUUGCAUUCGAUACUGCUGGGCUAGAGUAUGGUAGAGGGUAGUGGAAUUCCCGGAGUAGCGGUGAAAUGCGUAGAUAUUGGGAGGAACACCAGUGGCGAAGGCGGCCACCUGGACCGGUCCUGACGCUGAGGCGCGAAAGCGUGGGGAGCAAACAGGAUUAGAUACCCUGGUAGUCCACGCCCUAAACGGUGGGUACUCGGUGUCGCGGGUAUCGACCCCUGCG
rnacentral:rRNA from 1 species